rnacentral:rRNA from 1 species
UACGAAGGGGGCUAGCGUUGCUCGGAAUCACUGGGCGUAAAGCGCACGUAGGCGGAUGUUUAAGUCAGAGGUGAAAGCCUGGAGCUCAACUCCAGAACUGCCUUUGAUACUGGGCAUCUUGAGUCCGGAAGAGGUAAGUGGAACUGCGAGUGUAGAGGUGAAAUUCGUAGAUAUUCGCAAGAACACCAGUGGCGAAGGCGGGCUUACUGGUCCGGUACUGGAC